rnacentral:rRNA from 1 species
GAUGAACGCUAGCGGCAGGCCUAAUACAUGCAAGUCGAGGGAGAAUGUGGGAUUCGUCUGACAUGAAACCGGCGCACGGGUGCGUAACACGUAUGCACACUACCUUUAACUGGGGUAUAGCUCAGAGAAAUCUGAAUUAAUCCCCCAUAAGCCUACAACAUGGUAUCAUGAUUGAGUUACAGCUCCGGCGGGUACGGAUGGGCAUGCGGGCCAUUAGCUAGUUGGUGAGGUAAUGGCUCACCAAUGCUACGAUGUAUAGGGGGUCUGAGAGGAUGAUUCCCCACACUGGUACUGAGAUACGGACCAGACUCCUACGGGAGGCAGCAGUAGGGAAUAUUGGUCAAUGGACGCAAGUCUGAACCAGCCAUGCCGCGUGAAGGAUGAAGGACCUAUGGGUCGUAAACUUCUUUUAUUAGGGAAGAAAAAACGGGAUGCGUCCUGUACUGACGGUACUUAAUGAAUAAGGAUCGGCUAACUUCGUGCCAGCAGCCGCGGUAA